ensembl:snRNA U6 U6 spliceosomal RNA
GUGAUUGCCUUGGCAACACAUAUGAAAAAUUGGAACGAUACAGAGAAGAUUAGCAUGGCCCCUGCGCAA